GACGAACGCUGGCGGCGUGCUUAACACAUGCAAGUCGAACGGAAAGGCCCUGCUUUUGUGGGGUGCUCGAGUGGCGAACGGGUGAGUAACACGUGAGUAACCUGCCCUUGACUUUGGGAUAACUUCAGGAAACUGGGGCUAAUACCGGAUAGGAGCUCCUGCUGCAUGGUGGGGGUUGGAAAGUUUCGGCGGUUGGGGAUGGACUCGCGGGUUAUCAGCUUGUUGGUGGGGUAGUGGCUUACCAAGGCUUUGACGGGUAGCCGGCCUGAGAGGGGGAACGGGCACAUUAGGACUGAGGUAGGGCCCAGACUCCAACGGGAGGCAACGGUGGGAAGUAUUACACAGUGAGAGGGAGCCUGAUGCGAAAACGCCGCGUGCGGGAUGACGGCCUUCGGGUUAUAAACCGCUUUCGCCUGUGACGAAGCGUGAGUGACGGUAAUGAGUAAAGAAGCACCGGCUAACUACGUG
rnacentral:rRNA from 1 species